GGCCGUAUCACGUUGAAACACCGGUUCCCGUACGAACACCGAAGUUAAGAAACGUCAGCACCUAGAUGGGUGACUGCUUGGGAAUACCAGGUGCUU